rnacentral:rRNA from 1 species
AGACAGGUGCUGCAUGGCUGUCGUCAGCUCGUGUCGUGAGAUGUUGGGUUAAGUCCCGCAACGAGCCGCAACCCUUGCCUUUAGUUGCCAGCAGUUCGGGCUGGGCACUCUAAAGGGACUGCCGGUGUUAAACCGGAGGAAGGUGGGGAUGACGUCAAGUCCUCAUGGCCUUUAUGACCAGGGCUACACACGUACUACAAUGGCCGAUACAAAGGGCAGCGACACUGCGAGGUGAAGCCAAUCCCGUAAAAUCGGUCUCAAGUCCGGAUUGGAGUCUGCAACUCGACUCCAUGAAGUUGGAAUCGCUAGUAAUCGUGGAUCAGCAUGCCACGGUGAAUACGUUCCCGGGCCUU